rnacentral:rRNA from 1 species
GACGAACGCUGGCGGCGUGCCUAAUACAUGCAAGUUGAGCGCUGAAGGUUGGUACUUGUACCAACUGGAUGAGCAGCGAACGGGUGAGUAACGCGUGGGGAAUCUGCCUUUGAGCGGGGGACAACAUUUGGAAACGAAUGCUAAUACCGCAUAAAAACUUUAAACAAAAGUUUUAAGUUUGAAAGAUGCAAUUGCAUCACUCAAAGAUGAUCCCGCGUUGUAUUAGCUAGUUGGUGAGGUAAAGGCUCACCAAGGCGAUGAUACAUAGCCGACCUGAGAGGGUGAUCGGCCACAUUGGGACUGAGACACGGCCCAAACUCCUACGGGAGGCAGCAGUAGGGAAUCUUCGGCAAUGGACGAAAGUCUGACCGAGCAACGCCGCGUGAGUGAAGAAGGUUUUCGGAUCGUAAAACUCUGUUGGUAGAGAAGAACGUUGGUGAGAGUGGAAAGCUCAUAAAGUGACGGUAACUACACAGAAAGGGACGGCUAACUACGUG